rnacentral:tRNA from 1 species
UUAACUGAAGCCAAAAAGAGGCAUCUUAAUGUUAAUAAGAAAAAUGAUUAAAUAUCCAGUUAAU